CUAUCCUUCUUUUCUUUUCUCAUUCAUCUUUUUUUUUUGAAGAAGUGUCUUUUUCCACUUCUUUUUCAUAAUAUUUUUUUUUGAAAUUUUGGAUAAGAGAGUUUUUAUCCUUCUUAUACUAUCCUUCUUUUCUUUUCUCAUUCAUCUUUUUUUUUUGAAGAAGUGUCUUUUUCCACUUCUUUUUCAUAAUAUUUUUUUUUGAAAUUUUGGAUCAUAUUCUCUAGUACCCCAACCCCAACCCCAAACUUAAAACUUUUCUCACUUCC
rnacentral:lncRNA from 1 species